rnacentral:rRNA from 1 species
CCUACGGGCGGCUGCAGUGGGGAAUAUUGCGCAAUGGGCGAAAGCCUGACGCAGCAACGCCGCGUGCGGGAUGACGGCCUUCGGGUUGUAAACCGCUUUCAGCAGGGACGAAGCAACACGUGACGGUACCUGCAGAAGAAGCACCGGCCAACUACGUGCCAGCAGCCGCGGUGAUACGUAGGGUGCGAGCGUUGUCCGGAAUUAUUGGGCGUAAAGAGCUUGUAGGCGGUCUAUUGCGUCGAAAGUGAAAACUCAGGGCUCAACCCUGAGCCUGCUCUCGAUACGGGUAGACUUGAGGGAUGUAGGGGAGAACGGAAUUCUUGGUGGAGCGGUGGAAUGCGCAGAUAUCAGGAGGAACACCGGUGGCGAAGGCGGUUCUCUGGACAUUUCCUGACGCUGAGAAGCGAAAGCGUGGGUAGCAAACAGGCUUAGAUACCCUUGUAGUC